rnacentral:tRNA from 1 species
AGCAGAGAGGUUUAGUGGGUAGAGCUCAGGCCUAGGAGUCAGAAAGACCUGGGUUCUAAUCCCGGUUCUGCUG